UACGAAGGGGGCUAGCGUUGCUCGGAAUUACUGGGCGUAAAGCGCACGUAGGCGGCUUUCUAAGUCGGGGUUGAAAUCCUGGAGCUCAACUCCAGAACUGCCUUCGAUACUGGAAAGCUCGAGUCCGGGAGAGGUGAGUGGAACUGCGAGUGUAGAGGUGAAAUUCGUAGAUAUUCGCAAGAACACCAGUGGCGAAGGCGGCUCACUGGCCCGGUACUGACGCUGAGGUGCGAAAGCGUGGGGAGCAAACAGG
rnacentral:rRNA from 1 species